rnacentral:rRNA from 1 species
CAAGUCGAGGGGCAGCAGGACUGUAGCAAUACAGUUGCUGGCGACCGGCAAACGGGUGCGGAACACGUACGCAACUUACCCAAAACUGGGGAAUAGCCCGGGGAAACCCGGAUUAAUACCUCGUAACAUAAUUGAAUGGCAUCAUUUAAUUAUUAUAGCUCCGGCGGUUUUGGAUGGGCGUGCGCCUGAUUAGGUAGUUGGCGGGGUAACGGCCCACCAAGCCUACGAUCAGUAACUGGUGUGAGAGCACGACCAGUCACACGGGCACUGAGACACGGGCCCGACUCCUACGGGAGGCAGCAGUAAGGAAUAUUGGUCAAUGGACGCAAGUCUGAACCAGCCAUGCCGCGUGAAGGAUGAAGGUCCUCUGGAUUGUAAACUUCUUUUAUAUGGGAAGAAAUUCUCGCAUUCUUGCGGGAUUGACGGUACCAUAGGAAUAAGCACCGGCUAACUCCGUGCCAGCAGCCGCGGUAAUACGGAGGGUGCAAGCGUUAUCCGGAUUCACUGGGUUUAAAGGGUGCGUAGGAGGGCAGGUAAGUCAGUGGUGAAAUCCCCAAGCUUAACUUGGGAACUGCCGUUGAUACUAUCUGUCUUGAAUACCGUGGAGGUGAGCGGAAUAUGUCAUGUAGCGGUGAAAUGCUUAGAUAUGACAUAGAACACCAAUUGCGAAGGCAGCUCGCUACACGAAUAUUGACUCUGAGGCACGAAAGCGUGGGGAUCAAACAGGAUUAGAUACCCUGGUAGUCCACGCCCUAAACGAUGGAUACUCGACAUACGCGAUACACAGUGUGUGUCUGAGCGAAAGCAUUAAGUA